AUGGCGACGGCGAGGGGCACCGAGCGGCGGCGGCAGGGCGGGGAUCGCACCCGGGCCAGGCUGCGAGAGAGGAUCAAGUACCGCCACGACAGGCUCGUCCAGGACGCCUGGGAGGUCUCCGAGCUCUUCGCGCCCCACCUCGCCAUCCUCGCCUUCCCCGCAGUUGGCAAACCCCUCCUCUUCGGCAACCCCACCCUCGACUCCGUCCUCCGCAGUGUCUUCCUCGACGCCGACGCCGGGACCGAGACGGCGGACGAGGCCGCGGCGCGGGUGGCGGCGGUGAGGCGUGAGGCGGGGUGGAUCGAGGCGCAGGUCUCGCACGAGCAGGCGCGGCUGCGCGCCGUCGCGGAGAAGGUCAAGGCGGCGCAGGAGGAACAGGGGAGGGCGCACUGGUGGGAGGUGGAUGUGGACGCGCUCCGGGAGGCAGAGCUCCCCGAGUUCGCCACGGCGCUCGAUGCUCUCAGGGCCGACGUUCUGCGGCGCCUCGCCAAGCUGGCCGAAGCCCGGAAGCCACCGCGGCGGCAGUGGUAG
rnacentral:rRNA from 1 species